UGGGGCGUCGUCAAGCGGUAAGACACAUGAUUUUGGUUCAUGCACUCGGAGGUUCGAAUCCUCCCGCCCCAGCCA
rnacentral:tRNA from 1 species